rnacentral:rRNA from 1 species
ACUCCUACGGGAGGCAGCAGUGGGAAUCUUGCGCAAUGGGCGAAAGCCUGACGCAGCCAUGCCGCGUGAAUGAUGAAGGUCUUAGGAUUGUAAAAUUCUUUCACCGGGGACGAUAAUGACGGUACCCGGAGAAGAAGCCCGCCUGAACUUCAGUGCCAGCCAGCCGCCGGGUAAAUACGAAGGGGCGUAGCGUUGCUCGGAAUUACUGGGCGUAAAGGGAGCGUAGGCGGACAUUUAAGUCAGGGUGAAAUCCCGGGGCUCAACCUCGGAAUUGCCUUUGAUACUGGGUGUCUUGAGUGUGAGAGAGGUAUGUGGAACUCCGAGUGUAGAGGUGAAAUUCGUAGAUAUUCGGAAGAACACCAGUGGCGAAGGCGACAUACUGGCUCAUUACUGACGCUGAGGCUCGAAAGCGUGGGGAGC